rnacentral:misc_RNA from 1 species
GAUGAAGAACGUAGCGAAAUGUGAUAAGUAAUGUGAAUUGCAGAAUUCAGUGAAUCAUCGAAUCUUUGAACGCACCUUGCGCCUUUUGGUAUUCCGAAAGGCACACCUGUUUGAGCGUCAUGAAUACCUCAAUCUCCAUCUUUUCUUCGGAUUGAUGGGUGACUUGGAUGUUGAGCCCUGCUGGUAUGCUAUAUCAGCUGGCUUUAAACUUAUUAGCCGGCUCUGUACUGGAUCGGUUUGACUCGACGUGAUAAUAUUAUCGUUGAGGAUGCAUGUCUCAUGCAGCCGGAAAGUAUCAAAGCAGCUUCUAGCUUGCCUUUAGUGCACUUUUACAUUUUAGACCUCAGAUCAGGUGGGACUACCCGCUGAACUUAAGCAUAUCAUAAGCGGAGGA